CAGAGACGACGCAAGAUCGCAGUCACUGGCGACUUAGAUCCAGGAGAGCCGACCUUAAAUAAUGGGGAAAAGGCAAGGGAGACGAAGAGUAGCUACAACGUUGUGUCCUUGUCAUAUGGGACUGAAAUAUCAUGAAGACGACACUUUCUCACUUUUCAUGGGACACCUUAUUUCAGCAUUUAUAGAAUACGCCGGAAUAUACUGAAUUGAUAAUUCUGAGCGGAGGUAGCCUUCUGUAGUGGAUCAAAUUUUCGAUUUACUUUAUCAACUGCACGCUCAUAUUCUACUCACAGAUGGAGAACUAGAAGCUGCAAAGAUUAGUAAACUUGUACCCGAAAUACGCUUUCAGCUACGGCGUGAACGACCCGCAUACGGGAAACAUCAAGGACAAAUACGAGGAACGCGACGGAGAUAAGGAUAUUUGACAACACAAAUGCGCCUGAUAGCGCUCCGUGUGGCAUGACUGCUGGGCUCUGAUUGACUCAAACUGAUGGACUCAAUCAGCGCUUUUAAUCUGUGCAACAUUGGAACUCACAAUCAUCAACCUUCGGCAACCCUCGACAUUAUUAAGAAUCUAUAGUGAGGUCCACGUUAUAAUGGCAGUGGAGAAAGAUAGGAGAACAACGUUGCCGAUCUUCGGUCUUGUUAAUGCCUUCUAUAAACGGUAGCUAAUACACGUUUAUCUAUGUAAUAUUUAGGCUCAACUCACACUUACGCAACUCAGGUCGAAAAGAGACUCAACUCUAGUAGAGAGCAUGUGUUUUCAAAUGGUGACAGUCGCGGAGACUAGAGUC